AGGGGUUAAAGUGCUCAGCUGCUAACUGAAAGGUUGGUGGUUCAAACCCACCAGCCCCUC
rnacentral:tRNA from 1 species